rnacentral:rRNA from 1 species
AUUGAACGCUGGCGGCAGGCCUAACACAUGCAAGUCGAACGGUAACAGGAGGAAGCUUGCUUCUUUGCUGACGAGUGGCGGACGGGUGAGUAAUGUCUGGGAAACUGCCUGAUGGAGGGGGAUAACUACUGGAAACGGUAGCUAAUACCGCAUAACGUCGCAAGACCAAAGAGGGGGACCUUCGGGCCUCUUGCCAUCGGAUGUGCCCAGAUGGGAUUAGCUAGUAGGUGGGGUAACGGCUCACCUAGGCGACGAUCCCUAGCUGGUCUGAGAGGAUGACCAGCCACACUGGAACUGAGACACGGUCCAGACUCCUACGGGAGGCAGCAGUGGGGAAUAUUGCACAAUGGGCGCAAGCCUGAUGCAGCCAUGCCGCGUGUAUGAAGAAGGCCUUCGGGUUGUAAAGUACUUUCAGCGGGGAGGAAGGGAGUAAAGUUAAUACCUUUACUCAUUGACGUUACCCGCAGAAGAAGCACCGGCUAACUCCGUG